rnacentral:lncRNA from 1 species
UUGUUUUAUUUAAUUAUUUUAUUUCUAGGAAUCAAAGUUCCAUGAAACAGGAGUGCUGACUCCUGAAGAAUUUGUGGCAGCCGGAGAUCACUUGGUGCACCAUUGCCCUACAUGGCAGUGGGCCAAGGGCGAGGAAGCGAAGAUCCGGCCCUAUCUUCCAAAUGAUAAACAGUUUUUGAUCACCAGAAAUGUGCCAUGUUACCGCCGGUGUAAACAGAUUGAAUAUUGUGAAGACAAUGAGAAAGUAAUAGAGUCAGAACAUGAUGAGGAUGGUGGC